rnacentral:rRNA from 1 species
AGAGUUUGAUCCUGGCUCAGAACGAACGCUGGCGGCAGGCCUAACACAUGCAAGUCGAGCGAGACCUUCGGGUCUAGCGGCGGACGGGUGAGUAACGCGUGGGAACGUGCCCUUUGCUACGGAAUAGCCCCGGGAAACUGGGAGUAAUACCGUAUGUGCCCUUCGGGGGAAAGAUUUAUCGGCAAAGGAUCGGCCCGCGUUGGAUUAGGUAGUUGGUGGGGUAAUGGCCUACCAAGCCGACGAUCCAUAGCUGGUUUGAGAGGAUGAUCAGCCACACUGGGACUGAGACACGGCCCAGACUCCUACGGGAGGCAGCAGUGGGGAAUCUUAGACAAUGGGGGAAACCCUGAUCUAGCCAUGCCGCGUGAGCGAUGAAGGCCUUAGGGUUGUAAAGCUCUUUCAGGUGGGAAGAUAAUGACGGUACCACCAGAAGAAGCCCCGGCUAACUCCGUGCCAGCAGCCGCGGUAAUACGGAGGGGGCUAGCGUUGUU